rnacentral:rRNA from 1 species
GUGGGGAAUCUUGCGCAAUGGGCGAAAGCCUGACGCAGCGACGCCGCGUGAGCGAUGAAGGCCUUCGGGUUGUAAAGCUCUGUGGGGAGGAAAGAAUAAGGGUUGGCUAAUAUCCAAUCUGAUGACGGUACCUCCUUAGCAAGCACCGGCUAACUCUGUGCCAGCAGCCGCGGUAAGACAGAGGGUGCAAACGUUGUUCGGAAUUACUGGGCGUAAAGCGCGUGUAGGCGGCUAUGCAAGUCGGGCGUGAAAUCCCACGGCUCAACCGUGGAAGUGCACCCGAAACUGCGUAGCUAGAGUCCUGGAGAGGAAGGUGGAAUGCUUGGUGUAGAGGUGAAAUUCGUAGAUAUCAAGCGGAACACCGGUGGCGAAGGCGGCCUUCUGGACAGUGACUGACGCUGAGACGCGAAAGCGUGGGGAGCAAACAGGAUUAGAUACCCUAGUAGUCC